GAAUAACUGGGUGGAAUCUGAUGUUAUGUGAGCAGAAAGCAAGUUCUUGCAAUGGAUAAUUUCCAUAGAACACAGUUCACCGUGCUUAGCAGAUUCCUCUGACACUUUGGAGAAGUUUUUUUGGGAGCAGGGUGCAGGGGAGCUGCAGUGGGGAUGAGGGAAAAGGAGAGAUCCACUGAUGUGAGCUGUCGCCUGCUGCAAACAACCCACCAAAUAUCAUGAGUGUGCAUCAUAGAACAGCAAACCAUAAUAUACAGAAGCAUUUCCUGAAUCUGUGCCCUCAGGAGACAUUUCAUACAGAAUCCACCUUCCAACAAACCUGGUAGAUUUCCUUUGGAAGAGGUAAGUAAUAAUCUCUCUUGCUAGAAGUUUUGUAAUUGGUAGUUGUCCUUUAUGCAGCUUUGGGGAAAUGGCACUGUGGGGAUGGGGUUGGGGUUAAGGAGGGGACUAAUAGAUAGAAUUGUAUUCACAGGGUGUCUUUGUGUGCAUACAGGUAUGUGUGUGCGUAGGUAUAUCAUAGUUGGGAUUGUGGUAGAUGGAGUAGGUAUGUUACAUUUUGAAAUCCAUUGUUGUGUGCAGUGUACUGGAAGAAAGGGGGAAAUGGUUGUGUUGUCAAAAGCUGGUUUCAUCUGUGGUACAUCUGAAACAGCAGGUGGGAGUAGGGUUUUUUUUGUGUGUGUGCUGUUGUCUGCCAACAGCCAAUCAAGUGUCUAAGGCCGAGUGCUGAUGCUUCAUUUCAGUGCUGGACAAAGGUAAGUGGGUAGCGGAGACAGGUUGGCAUUUUUAUGAUAUUGUGUGGAUGUUACAACAAGUACUAUGUAAUGCAAAGCAACUGGAAACAGCAGCCAAUAAAAUAAAAUCUGCAAUAAAAGCAAAGCACAUCCCAAGGGCAGAAAUCUCUCAAACCAAAAGCACACUGCAAACAAGACAAGGGGCCCAAUGGAUCUUCAUAGGAAGGAUAUUUAACAGUCCUGCUCCUGCCACUGAAAAGACACAGGUACCAGCUCUCACAUGGCAGUAGGACCAUGAGCAUGCCAGUCUUAAGUGGUUGGCAGGCUCAUGGGGGUGGGAUGUGAUGGUGUUGUAGGCUAAACCUUAUUUUGUGCAUGUGCCACAUUCAGCAGACCAGAUACCCCAAGCCACCUACUUAGUUGCAUACACAGAUUUUUUAAAAAUUAAAUUUUUGAUUCAUAUUCUGAGAAGACUUCCAGUUUAUAUAUUGGAACAUAUUUUCAACAAAAUAAGCAUUUGCUCUUGAUAAAACGCUUGAACUGCAUGACCAGACCACCCAGCCAAGCAGCCUUUUGUUGGGGUACAAGGCACCAAAUCAGCAAAGAUGAAAUAUCUGAGCAGCUGUACACCCAAGGAUACUCUGUGAACUCAGCACGACAGAUCAUGUACACUUAUUGAAGUAAAGAGACAGAAUUCCCUACCACUCUGAACCAAAUGAAGUUACUGAAACAUCUUCAAAAGCAACCCCAUGAAGAUUAUUUAUUGGAGAGGUCAAGCCUGCUGGAUUUAUUAUCGUCGUGAGUUUUAUAGGAGGCAUUGUAUUGUGGCUCGAAAUUGUAUCUCAUCUGUUACUGCAUAAGCUUUGCCUAUAAAGAUGAUCUAUACUAAUUUUUCAAACGAACAGAUAAGUAGCUAACAGAAACUGUAAGAAUCCUAUGUUUUAAA